CUUAAAGGAAUUGACGGGGCCGCGACAAGCGGUGGAGCAUGUGGUUAAUUCGAUGCGACGCGAGAACCUUACCUGGGCUUGACAUCCCUGGAAUCCCCUGGAAACAGGGAGUGCCUUCGGGGCUUUCUGCAAGGUGCUGCAUGGUUGUCGUCAGCUCGUGCCGUGAGGUGUCGGGUUAAGUCCCAUAACGAGCGCAACCCUUAUCGUUAGUUGCCAUCUGGUAAUGCAGGGGACUCUAGCGAAACUGCCACCGUAAGGUGAGAGGAAGGUGGGGAUGACGGUCAAAUCAGCACGGCCCUUAUGUCCAGGGCUACACACGUGUUACAAUGGUCGGUACAGAGGGCAGCUACCUGGUGACAGGAUGCUAAUCUCGAAAACCGGUCUCAGUUCGGAUCGAAGUCUGCAACUCGACUUCGUGAAGCUGGAUUCGCUAGUAAUCGCGCAUCAGCUAUGGCGCGGUGAAUACGUUCCCGGGCCUU
rnacentral:rRNA from 1 species